AUUGAACGCUGGCGGCAGGCCUAACACAUGCAAGUCGAGCGGAUGAGGGAAGCUUGCUUCCCGAUUUAGCGGCGGACGGGUGAGUAAUGCCUAGGAAUCUGCCUAUUAGUGGGGGAUAACGUUCCGAAAGGAACGCUAAUACCGCAUACGUCCUACGGGAGAAAGUGGGGGAUCUUCGGACCUCACGCUAAUCGAUGAGCCUAGGUCGGAUUAGCUAGUUGGUGGGGUAACGGCUCACCAAGGCGACGAUCCGUAGCUGGUCUGAGAGGAUGAUCAGCCACACUGGAACUGAGACACGGUCCAGACUCCUACGGGAGGCAGCAGUGGGGAAUACUGGACAAUGGGCGAAAGCCUGAUCCAGCCAUGCCGCGUGUGUGAAGAAGGUCUUCGGAUUGUAAAGCACUUUAAGUUGGGAGGAAGGGUUGUAAGCUAAUAUCUUGCAGCUUUGACGUUACCAACAGAAUAAGCACCGGCUAACUCUGUGCCAGCCGCCGCCGUAAAAC
rnacentral:rRNA from 1 species